rnacentral:rRNA from 1 species
UACAGAGGUCUCAAGCGUUGUUCGGAUUCAUUGGGCGUAAAGGGUGCGUAGGUGGCGCGCUAAGUCAGGUGUGAAAUUUCGGAGCUUAACUCCGAAACUGCAUUUGAUACUGGCGUGCUUGAGGACUGGAGAGGAGACUGGAAUUCACGGUGUAGCAGUGAAAUGCGUAGAUAUCAGGAGGAACACCAAUGGCGAAGGCAGCUCGCUGGGACGGUACUGACGCUGAGACGCGAAAGCGUGGGGAGCAAACAGG